AGGGGAGUAGCUCAAUAGGCAGAGUGAUGGUCUCCAAAACCAUCGGUUAAGGGUUCAAAUCCCUUCUCCCCUG
rnacentral:tRNA from 1 species